UGGGGAAUAUUGCACAAUGGAGGGAACUCUGAUGCAGCAACGCCGCGUGCGGGAUGACGGCCUUCGGGUUGUAAACCGCUUUCAGCCAUGACGAAGCUUUUGUGACGGUAGUGGUAGAAGAAGCACCGGCUAACUACGUGCCAGCAGCCGCGGUGAUACGUAGGGUGCGAGCGUUGUCCGGAAUUAUUGGGCGUAAAGAGCUUGUAGGCGGUUUGUCGCGUCGAUAGUGUAAACACGCAGCUUAACUGUGUGCCUGCUGUCGAUACGGGCUGACUAGAGGAGGGUAGGGGAGAAUGGAAUUCCCGGUGGAGCGGUGGAAUGCGCAGAUGUCGGGAGGAACACCAGUGGCGAAGGCGGUUCUCUAGACCUUUCCUGACACUGAGAAGCGAAAGCGUGGGUAGCAAACAGG
rnacentral:rRNA from 1 species